rnacentral:rRNA from 1 species
UACGUAGGGUGCAAGCGUUGUCCGGAAUUAUUGGGCGUAAAGCGCACGUAGGCGGCUUUGUAAGUUAGAGGUGAAAGCCCGGGGCUCAACCCCGGAAUUGCCUUUAAGACUGCAUCGCUAGAAUUGUGGAGAGGUAAGUGGAAUUCCGAGUGUAGAGGUGUAAUUCGUAGAUAUUCGGAAGAACACCAGUGGCGAAGGCGACUUACUGGACACAUAUUGACGCUGAGGUGCGAAAGCGUGGGGAGCAAACAGG